GACGAACGCUGGCGGCGUGCUUAACACAUGCAAGUCGACAUGAGUGGCGAACGGGUGAGUAAUACGUGGGUAACCUGCCCUCCUUUUUGGGAUAAGCCUUGGAAACGGGGUCUACUACCGAAUAAAGGGGGAUGGGCUCGGGGCUGAUCAGUUUGUUGGUGGGGUGAUGGCCUACCAAGGCGGUGACGGGUAGCCGGGCUGAUCGGGUAACCGGCGACAUAGGCACUGAGAAACGUCCCAGAGUCCGACGGGGGGCGGCAGUUGGGGAUAUUGCACAAUGGGCGAAAGCCUGAUGCAGCGACGCCGCGUGGGGGAUGAGGGCUGUCGGGUUGUAAACCUCUUUCGCUAGCGAACGGUUAGGUGGAGAAGAAGCGCCGGCUAACUACGUGCCAGCAGCCGCGGUAAUUC
rnacentral:rRNA from 1 species